GCAGACUGAACUUAACAUUCCGAGUGAGUUUCAAGAAACAGCCACCACUUGUUGACAAGUGAUUUUCAUCAGGCAGCUAGUUCAAACAGAUUUUGAGGGUAUGUGGUCAUGCAUAGGACAGAUAAACACAUUUUGCUAUGUGUAAUGUAUUGAUCCUUCGAUGUCGGCUCUUCCUAUCAUUGUGAAGCAGAAUUCACCAAGCGUUGGAUUGUUCACCCACUAAUAGGGAAUGUGAGCUGGGUUUAGACCGUCGUGAGACAGGUUAGUUUUACCCUACUGAUGAUGUCGCAAUGGUAAUGCAACCUAGAACGAGAGA